rnacentral:tRNA from 1 species
UAUAUGCUAUUUUAAUUUAUUAAAAAAUUUUAGUAUACUAUUAAUAGAUGUAAUACACUUACGGCGUAUAA